UCCGCCCCCCAAGCCCGCAGGGCAGGCGGGAAGGCCGACCGGACGCGCGCGGCGGCCUGGGAACCGAAGCCGACGCCCGCCACGCCCGAGGCGCCUCCGGCCCCGGGGGCCCCUGAAGACACGGGGAUGGCGACCCGCGGAGGGGUUCCGUCCUCCCCGGCCGACGCGACGGACUCGAGGGCUCUGCGGGCGCCUCGCCGACCCUCUCCGGGCCGCCACGUCCCGUUUGCACGUCCCUCUCCCCCCAGUUCCCGCGAGAAGAGCCGCCGGAAAGAAAGACGGAAAGAAGACGGCACGCCCGCGGGGCUCCAGAGUGGCUCGCACGCCCGGGUCGCCGCUCUGGUCUUUCUCGUGGCUUCCGGGCUCCCCUCCCCCACCCCGCGGAGACGGCUUCUCCGGGCGUCAGGCGUCCGCCCCCUCGAGUCUGCAGGGCGGCGUUUUCCGCGCGCUUCGCCAGAGUUCGCCCGCGCGUCCGGAGCUCGUCAGGGGCCGCUUGGGCCCCCGCCCCGCCCCGGGAUUUGACUGUCGCCGUUGCCCCUCGGCACGCACCGGGCCUCCUGGCCACGCGGCCUCGGUCGGCCGGGGCGCCUGGCGACGCGUGGCGCCCCGCCCGGGGGGGGGGGGGUUCCCGAGAUGCUCCCGCCCGGCCGUCGGUUGCCAGAACCGGGCGCGACCGCCGCCCCCUCUUUCUGAAGACCACCCUGUCAGGCUCGCCAAGCGGAGCCCCGUGGCCCCGACGCCAGGCUCCCGAAAUCUAUUUAGCAGAAAGGAACUGCUGCCGGGUGCGCCAGAGACGGUUCGCGGUCCCGGGGUCCACGACGCAGGAGCGUCGGGGGGACGAGAUGGAAGCGGGAGUUUUCCCUGUGCAUAUAUUUUUUGGAUACUUUGGGGGGAUUGAAUUACCGAGUGUAUAACUAUUCCAAAAAUUAGACAGAUUGAAGAUUUUUAGAGCUUCAGCGAUAUAUUGACGCGACAACAUAUAUGUUUUUACAUGUAAAUGUUUAUUUACUCUCGAGAGCGAGAAGGAGAGAGAGAGGGAGACAGAGGGUCUGAAGAAGGCUCUGUGCUGACAGCAGGACCCCCGAAGGGCGGUCUUGAACUCAGGAACCAGGAGAUCAUGACCUGAACCGAAGUCCAACACUUAACCGACCGAGCCACCCAGGUGCCUUGAUGUGACAAUAUUUUUUUAAUUCCUAGGCACAACCUAAAAUUGUUUUCAUCUCCGGGUGCCCGGGUGGCUCAGUCGGUUGAGCAUCCGACUUCAGCUCAGGUCAGGAGCUUGUGGUUUGUGGGGUCCAGCCCCGCGUCGGGCUCUGUGCAAACGGCUCAGAGCCUGGAGCUGCUUCGCCUUCUGUGUCUCCCUCUCUCUCUGCCCUCCCCCGCUCAUGCUCUGUCUCUCUUUCUCUGUCAAAAAUAAAUAAAACAUUAAUAAAUUUUUUUUUUAAAUCACCGAGGGCUUGUAGACAAAACAAUGCCAAUUUGUUCACCUAUGCUGAGUUCCUUCCUCCCCUGGGCACCGAACACACCGAUCAUUCCUAUUAUGUUGACUUGCCUACAGGUUCACCUCUUCUGCCGCCCGGUCUACUUCUCCAACCGUAGGGGGGCAUGUCUUAUCUGUCCUUCCACGGAUCUGCCCUCGGGUACCUGCUUCCCUGCCCAUCUGCUUCAAUACUUCUCCUUCACGGACCUCCCUGGUCCCAGGAGGCACGUUGACUCCUUCUUUUCCACCCGUGCUGACCCCUUGGAUACAGUGACUCAGCUUUUGGAUUGGCCUCUUGCCUUGGCACUUGGCCCCUACACGAUUCAGCUUCCUGUAUCUGCUCCCUGGCCACUCUCCGUCUGCCAAGCAGCUGAGGUCAUUUUCCGCUUGUCACCAUGUAUGGGAAUGGACAGCAAAAGCCGCCAUCACCCGGUCUGGAAACUUCGGCAUCGUCCGUUUCUUCUGCUCCUCACCCCCCGGCCCUCCAUGCAAGUUCAUUCCAAGGCAGCGUUACCUCGAGUAGGUCCUUCCUUCUGAACCCACCCUUCCAGGCUGCCUGAGAUCAGGGGCCCAUCCUCCCUUGGACUGACCACGUGGCUUGGUUUGCCCAGAAGGGUCUCUGCUUACACGUGUCAUUCAGUGUAAUUAUUAGGAGCCUCCCUUUCACUCUCCAAAUGCCCUGGUCUGGUCAACAGAUGACGUGGCCCCACUGCAGUUGGUCUGACGCUUCACCUGGAAAAUGUCUGCUCAUCUUCGAAGAUCUGCUCCAAGUGCCGGAAGAAGCGCUGGGAAGCCUCGUGUGAGUUCCCUGGAGGAAGUCGGCCGCUCCUUCCGUGCCCCUCCAGCCUUGUGUGUGUAAUUCAUGACAGCGUUAACCAUGGUAUAUUACUAGA